UUGCUGGGGGAGCGUAAGCUGAGAUCGAAACGUAAGUUUCAGACCCUUAUCACCUGAUCCGGUUAAUACCGGCGUAGGGAAGCGAAGACCUUU
rnacentral:ncRNA from 1 species